rnacentral:rRNA from 1 species
UACGUAGGGGCCUAGCGUUGUCCGGAAUUAUUGGGCGUAAAGAGCUCGUAGGCGGUUCGGCAAGUCGGGGGUGAAAUCCUGGAGCUCAACUCCAGAACUGCCUUCGAUACUGGCGAUCUUGAGUCCGGAAGAGGUGAGUGGAACUCCUAGUGUAGAGGUGGAAUUCGUAGAUAUUAGGAAGAACACCAGUGGCGAAGGCGGCUCACUGGUCCGGUACUGACGCUGAGGUGCGAAAGCGUGGGGAGCAAACA